rnacentral:rRNA from 1 species
UGGGGAAUAUUGGACAAUGGGGGGAACCCUGAUCCAGCGACGCCGCGUGAGUGAAGAAGUAUUCCGGUAUGUAAAGCUCUAUCAGCAGGGAAGAAAAUGACGGUACCUGACUAAGAAGCCCCGGCUAACUACGUGCCAGCAGCCGCGGUAAUACGUAGGGGGCAAGCGUUAUCCGGAUUUACUGGGUGUAAAGGGAGCGCAGACGGCUUGGCAAGUCUGAAGUGAAAGCCCGGGGCUUAACCCCGGGACUGCUUUGGAAACUGUGAAGCUAGAGUGUCGGAGAGGUAAGUGGAAUUCCCAGUGUAGCGGUGAAAUGCGUAGAUAUUGGGAGGAACACCGGUGGCGAAGGCGGCUUACUGGACGAUAACUGACGUUGAGGCUCGAAGGCGUGGGGAGCAAACAGGAUUAGAUACCCUGGUAGUCCACGCGGUAAACGAUGAAUACUAGGUGUCGGGGGACAUAGUCUUUCGGUGCCGCCGCUAACGCAUUAAGUAUUCCACCUGGGGAGUACGUUCGCAAGAAUG